rnacentral:rRNA from 1 species
AGCGAACGCUGGCGGCAGGCCUAACACAUGCAAGUCGAACGGACCCUUCGGGGUUAGUGGCGGACGGGUGAGUAACACGUGGGAACGUGCCUUUAGGUUCGGAAUAGCUCCUGGAAACGGGUGGUAAUGCCGAAUGUGCCCUUCGGGGGAACGAUUUAUCGCCUUUAGAGCGGCCCGCGUCUGUAUAGCUAGUUGGUGAGGUAAAGGCUCACCAAGGCGACGAUCAGUAGCGGGUCUGAGAGGAUGAGCAGCCACAUUGGGACUGAGACACGGCCAAAACUCCUACGGGAGGAAGCAGUGGGGAAUCGUGCGCAAUGGGCGAAAGCCUGACGCAGCCAUGCCGCGUGAAUGAUGAAGGUCUUAGGAUUGUAAAAUUCUUUCACCGGGGACGAUAAUGACGGUACCCGGAGAAGAAGCCCCGACUAACUUCGUGCCAGCCGCCCCUGUAA